CACCCGCUACAACCGCACUGGCAAGGUGCCUAAGAGUCGCGAAUGCGGCCACCUUUCAAUAACAGGCGAGUCUUAGUUUAUUA
rfam:Lysinibacillus odysseyi 34hs-1 = NBRC 100172 contig3, whole genome shotgun sequence.